rnacentral:lncRNA from 1 species
GCACUUGUUCCGCUUUUCAAUCAAAGGACCGGUAUCGCCCACCAUGACACAUCGUCUGCUACAACAAGAUGGCGGCUGUCAAAAUGCAUUGGGCGAAGCUAGUGAGCUCUGGAAAAUUGUAGUUUUCCCAGUAAUGGAGAUUAACAGCUGGUGUCACAUAAGGCCAUAGAAUGUUUCCCGGAUCCUCUGCUUGGUGUCGCUGCUCUUGCUCUGCUUUCCAAGGAAUUAAAGGACCGUUAUCGCCCACCAUAAAACAUGGUCUGCUUAAACAAGAUGGCGGCUGCCAAAACACAUUGGGCAAGGCUUGAGAGCCUUGAAAUAUUGUAGUUUUCGCAGUAAUAGAGGAACCAUGCCAUAAUGGGAGAUGGACUAGAGAUGAGGAGAAAUUUUUGACAGUUUGUGGAGAGCAGGGGGGUGGAAAAUAUCAAAUACACAGAGUGGAAGGACUGUGCAGAAGACCAGAGAAAUGGGUGUACAGACUGAUGUAACCUUUGGGCCUAUGAUUGAAGUGACCUGGGCAUGUAGCAGUCAUGCACUUUAUACCACUCAUUCGCAUUCCUUAAUUAGAUCUAUGUUAUCAAAUGUAUCAGUCAGUGAACCAGCCUCACCCGCCAUACGCUCACAGACCUGCCAUGUCUCUGACAUACCGUCAACCGAUGCCACUUCUCCAUUUGGUGCCCGAACAAAACUACUCGCAACCACUUACAGUCAGUGAACCAGCCGCACCUGCUAUAUGCUCACAGACCUGCCAUGUCUCUGACAUACCGUCAACUGAUGCCACUUCUCCGUUGGUGCCUAAACAAAACUGCUUGCAACCACUUACAGUCAGUGAACCAGCCUCACCAGUUGUCUGUUGUUCAAUUAUGCUUGAGCAUAACUAAGCAAAUCAAAAGAGAACCCAAAUCUUAUCAAAGAAAAAGAUUAAAAGGCAGAAAAAAAUAAUGUCAAUUGGCAGAAUUUCUUACCCACCAAUCAAGAAAUGUUCCUGGAAGAGUAUCUUUGACUCAUCUGGUCAAACUGGUAUUCAUGUACAACAAAAUGAAUAAAUGCUCAAUUAUCGCAUUAACAGAUUUCUUUGCCAUUUGGCAUGGAUACUUUCACAAGUUCAGGAAAAAGCUGAGAUGGGUUAUCAAUUUGCAAAUGUUUGUUAAUGAGGUUAAUGUUCACUUGUUGUAUAUUUUCACCAUAUAUUUGGGGCCAUUCAAAUUGGAUUGUGUGAUAUUAAUUCUAUGAUCAUGUUGUACUGUUGUUUUGUGCAGUAUCGAAGAAAGAUAUUUCAGUGUUAUAACUAUUUAUUCUUGUAACUAAUAUCAAUCCCAGCUGUAU